UACGGAGGGUGCAGGCGUUAUCCGGAUUCACUGGGUUUAAAGGGUGCGUAGGUGGGCAGGUAAGUCAGUGGUGAAAUCUCCGGGCUUAACUCGGAAACUGCCGUUGAUACUAUCUGUCUUGAAUAUCGUGGAGGUUAGCGGAAUAUGUCAUGUAGCGGUGAAAUGCUUAGAUAUGACAUAGAACACCCAUUGCGAAGGCAGCUAACUACACGAUCAUUGACACUGAGGCACGAAAGCGUGGGGAGCAAACAGG
rnacentral:rRNA from 1 species